CUGUGAGAUUACAUAUGCAUAUAGUGUUAAUGCUAUAAGAGUGUAGUAUCUACUCACAAAGUUAUCAGGUUAAAUAGUUUUAUCAACUAAUAAAAAUGUUAUUGCAUAACUAAUGUUAUACUGUAGCCCCUGCCACGAUAUCCAGCGAAAAUUAUUUUGCUGAGUAUUGUAGUAAAAGUUAAGAUAUGAUGUUGAGAAUUUUUUUGAGUUGUGCAACAACAUUAACAGCAAACUAUAAUACAAAUCUAUCUUUUUAAAAGUUUGUAUUGCU
rnacentral:misc_RNA from 1 species